AUGAUGUGGAUUAAUUCGAUGCAACGCGAAAACCUUACCUACCCUUGACAUGCCAGGAACUUGCCAGAGAUGGCUUGGUGCCCGAAAGGGAGCCUGGACACAGGUGCUGCAUGGCUGUCGUCAGCUCGUGUCGUGAGAUGUUGGGUUAAGCCCCGCAACGAGCGCAACCCUUGUCAUUAGUUGCCAUCAUUCAGUUGGGCACUCUAAUGAGACUGCCGGUGACAAACCGGAGGAAGGUGGGGAUGACAUCAAGUCCUCAUGGCCCUUAUGGGUAGGGCUUCACACGUCAUACAAUGGUCGGUACAGAGGGUUGCCAAGCCGCGAGGUGGAGCCAAUCCCAGAAAGCCGAUCGUAGUCCGGAUUGUAGGCUGCAACUCGCCUACAUGAAGUCGGAAUCGCUAGUAAUCGCGGAUCAGCACGCCGCGGUCGAAUACGUUCCCGGGCCUU
rnacentral:rRNA from 1 species